CUGACACAGGUGCUGCAUGGCUGUCGUCAGCUCGUGUCGUGAGAUGUUGGGUUAAGUCCGUAACGAGCGCAACCCUUGUCCUUAGUUACCAGCACGUUAUGGUGGGCACUCUAAGGAGACUGCCGGUGCAAACCGGAGGAAGGUGGGGAGUGACGUCAAGUCAUCAUGGCCCUUACGGCCUGGGCUACACACGUGCUACAAUGGUCGGUACAAAGGGUUGCCAAGCCGCGAGGUGGAGCUAAUCCCAUAAAACCGAUCGUAGUCCGGAUCGCAGUCUGCAACUCGACUGCGUGAAGUCGGAAUCGCUAGUAAUCGUGAAUCAGAAUGUCACGGUGAAUACGUUCCCGGGCCUU
rnacentral:rRNA from 1 species